GAACGACUCGCACGCUAGACUCCCUGCCCUCGUUCGUCGCCGCCUUCAUCCCUUCGCCUCCGCCGCCCUUCAUCCCUUCGCCGCUGCACUCGGUCUCACAUCAAAGGCGCCCCACUCGCGGGAGAGGAUGAGCUGAUCUCCAUGGCCAGAUGAGGGAGGAAUACGGGUGACGGGAUGGAUUUGGAUCUCAAGGCGGGGAGGCCAACGUAGCCGCCCCUAGCGCGUCGAGCGAAAGCGAAGGAUUUGGAUCUCAUGGAUUUGGCUGCGUCGACCAGCAGAGGACCGCCGCCGGCUCGGCUCCUCCACCACAAAGCAACCUCCUUCCACCCCGUAGCCGCCGCCCAAAACCCUAGCAAUCGAGCCCCACCCAUGGCGCCCUAGGUGGUACAGCGGCCAGAGGAGAGGAGAGGAGAGGAGGUGGAGCAGCCAUCGCCUAGACGUGAGGUGAGCUUCCCCCAUCCAAUCUUAUCUACCCCCACCACCAGGUGGCUCACAAUAUCUAUCACCUGCAGCAGCAUCUUGUGCAUGCAUCCAUUGAGGACGUGAGCGGUGAAUGGGCAGCGCGGGCGUCGAGCAGGAUCAUGGGGGAGCAGGGGAGGCCAGAGGCUGCUCACCAUAUACAUCGCCAUCCAUAGCCUCCCUCGUCCGCCAAGAAGCUGAGGAGGGAGGCUGACCUCCAGUGACCACUCUGCACCGCUCUGGACGACACCCUCCCCCACCAGGUUCAUCCUCCUAAUUCGUUUUAAUCAUCCCAAAUUUUUUUGUCUUACCACAGUUAAGAAAUACGAUUCAUGUUUGCUAUUGCAUUUGGAGCUCCAUCCUUACAACUUAUGGAUAAUAUGAAUACAUCAAGGUGUUUUGGUUCUCCCCAUUCUGUAUGUUCGCAAUGGAGUGUAUAUAUUGUUGAUUUAUGUCAUGGUGAUUGAAUUUGAUUGCAGAGAGAAAGUGCAAAAGCUAUGGGCAAUCCUAUAUGACUGGCGCCAUCAGUAAGGAUUUAUUUAAAGCUAGCUUACUUUUGGGUCUAAGCCAAGUUUAUUUCUUUCGCAGAUUUAUUCACCUUAUUGGGACGGUGGGGUUAAUAUAUAUACAUCAACUUUGAGCAUCAGCAACGCAUGAAGCUUGCUUCUGAGGCUGCAACAUACUUUGCAAUCCCCCUGUGAAACAUACUUUUGUCACUAUGCACAUAUGGUUAUUCGAACGAAUUGAUUUCGAUUAGACUAUCUUUUUCCUAAUUACUUGUUAUAUGAUGUUCUUUACUAUUCAGAGGUUGUUGAAGGGAGAUGGGGCUCUUCUGGCCCCUUUGGUGCAAAAGCACAAGCAACAGCAUCUACAGCUGACCACUCAUAGCCUAGGAUGUCCUGCAGAUUUGAUCUAUUUUGGAUAGAGACAUGGAAUCAAACCACAGGAUACCCAAGCAGUGCGUACAAAUUGUAGUGGUGCUUGUAGCUUAUCAUCAAUCUGCCAUUAUUAUUUGUAUGUAUGUGUUCAAAACGACCACCUAGAGAUUCUUGAUUUGCUCCUGGCUGCACCGUUGGGUUUCUCGCGGCUUUGUUUCGUUUGAGUUCUAUUGUUCAAAACUGAAUUUGUUGAUGCUUAGAGUUUGGACUGGUCCGUUUGAUACGUCUGCACUCGUGAUGCGGAACAUUUUCCAACAUAGUGUGGGUUCAGAAGUGAGGAAAACAAUUGGCUUGCAGGGUUCAGGCUACUUUCUUGUGCUUGUUUUGCCUUGUGAUUACUUGAAACUGCAACCUGCAGGUUGAAUGGGCGCUUUAUAUUUUAGGGCGGAAGACUGAAGCAAAGAAAACUGCGGCUCUUUAGUAUAUCUUCAGAUUUGCGGCUCUUUGAGCUGUGGUACAUUUGAUUCGAGACCCGGAUGAGGUCGGUUAAAUUAGGAUUAAAGUCCGCACAAUAACUAGGAACACUGAACAAGCAAGGCUAUUCAGAUGAAGUCUGCACUUAAUACUAUAGGUUUCUUUUUGGGCUCUUGUACAGCUUCGCUAGCAUCAUGAAUUAAUUGUGGGAUAUGAUGCACAGUAGUAGCUUCUUCUGUUUAUUUUAGAAAUCUUAGUUUAUAGGUUUCCUUUUCGUCUCUUGUACUAAUGUUCAGGGUAAUGGAAAUCUUGUAUGAUAAUCUGCACAUAGUUGAUACUAACAACAUAAUGAUGACAUGUUUGUUUUUGGGCAUAAAGUUAUGUGCUGAUCCUCUUGCAUUUGGAUUCCGGUCUUACCCUGACUAUGCGGAUAUGCUAUUCUAGGUUGGUUUUACGUUUCUUAUUGGAAGAGUGAGAUGCCCAGGACAGAAUCCAGUUUGUAUCAACGCCUCAUUGGGAUGGAGGGCAGUCAGCAUCCACCUCGAGGCAGAGGGGUGGGCAGAAGGACGGUCGGUGUUCAACUCUCUACGGUUCAAAACCAAGUCCAUCCAAGCCUCAAAGUAUAAAGAAGGCGCCUAGACACUCGAUGGGUGGUGUAAACCGUAGGGUGUCCAUUGGUGGAGCCAUGAUGCAAGCAUCCAAAACAGACAUAUUGUAUACGAAGAAUGUUCAUGCUGCCAAGAGAAGUGAAGACAUUGCCCAUUUGUCCCCUGGGAAUGCCAAGAUAUUCGCCAAACAAAGCCAUAGGAUGGUGCUAUACACAGAGGACAACCUAUCAGGUGAGAAUCGAUUCGUGGCUCUUUCUCUUUUUUGAACUGGUCGUUAUGUGGUUCUUGGGGACUCGCACUCUGUUUUGUUUCUUUUUUUACCUCCUAUUUAUGGGCUCCCUUCUGUUAGGGAGUCCACUAAUGACCAGAUGGGUAUCUUGUCGCUCAUCUACAGCAAGUCGGGCUCCAGUGUGUUUGGGUCAGCGUCCACGGAGGAGCAGAUAACUGACGACAUUUACGCUGCCGGGCUCACUAUCCUCAUCACACAUGACCACAACCCACCCAACCGACUGUUACAAUGGUCGUGGAGCUUCUUGGAUUAAAAUUGCAAAGAGUAGUACUGGAAAGCUUCAUUUUCGUAAGAUGCUCUGGUAUUUCCGAGUAGAAGAAAGCAAAGCCAACAAGGGUCGUUAGAAAUUAUUAGUACUCUACAAAAUUUGUAACACAUCAUAUUAAUUGGGAACUCAAAUCUUGGUUGCAAAAAUUAGAUCUGUGCUAUAAAUGCAGGCAAUACAAAAGGUAGGAAGACCAUACGAAGACCAAUACAAAAAGGAGGAUGCAUGAGCUUCAGAUCUGAUUGAAUUUAGUCAGAAGAUGGAGACUUGAAGGAGGAAUUAGUGGAGAAUGGGAAGGUGGAUAGAACAUGGGAACAAAUCAAAUACGUGUAGUAUUCCUAUGAGGGGAGUGAGUGGAGACAGAAAUGAGUGCACGUGGAGCAGCUGCUGCCUAUGAGGCGAGUGAGUGGAGACGGCCAGAUCUAUGCGGCGGAGGGGCUAUAGAAGCUUGAACGAAAGAUUCGUCGCCAGCAUCGGAGCAAUUUAUUGGGCAGAUCGACACUAAAUCUCCUGCAUGGACGUGAAGGCAUGUCUUUAUUAAGUUCAAUCUUUGAAAACUUGGCAUGUGACGCUGUGUAAAAAUAGAAGAUGCUAGAAAAUUGUCUCUGGCCAAUUUCGUAUGUAGCCGUGAGCAUUGCUAAUUUCUGUCAACAUGAACGAUAUUUGGUCUGUUUAUAUAGCUACCAUGUGCUGAACAAAUUGUCUGAUUAAUGUAAUACUCCUGAAUAGAUUGGUGUG